CUACCAAAACACUUAUUUUCUCUGCUUUCCCUUUUCUUUUUCUUUUUGAAACACAACAAGGCCUUCGAACACACUAGGGCUUUAUCUUUCCCUUUUGAAACAUACCGUUCAAACACAGCUAGGGCUUUACUUUCCCUUUUGAAAUAGACCAUUUGACCCUACUCACAAUUCCUUUCCUCCUAUUCAUUAUUGAGGUUGGAGAAGCAACCUCUACUUUCACAAGUCCAAACUACAAAGCUGAGGACCCAAAAAUCUUCUUCCUUUUUCCAUUGUUGAUGCUGCACAGUCCAACUUCUUGAAAUGUUAGUUUCGCUCCCUUUUUCUUUUAGCCUUUCCCUUUCGAAACACAUCAUUCGACUCUACUCACAAUUCCUUUUUCCGAUUUGUUAUUGAGGUUGAAGAAGCAACCUCUGCUUUCACAAGUCCAAACUAGGAAGCUCAGGACCCAGAAAUCUUCCUUCUUUCCCGUUGUUUAUGUUGUACAGUCUAACUUCUUCAAAUGUUAGUUUCGCUCUCUUAUUAUUAUUAUUAUUUUUUUUUUUACCUUCACUUUAACAUCUCCACCUAUUCCUUGUAAAAACUUUCAAUUUGAUUCCGCUUCUCAGCAUUGGAGGAGCAAGUAAUGGACUGAGCAGGAAAUUGAAGCAAAAAAUUUGCCAUCAUUAGAGUUACAAGUGUUUGCUGAGAAAAUUACACACACACUUACAGAGAUAGAGAAAGAGAGAGAGAGAGAGAGAAAUAAAUAAAUAGAGAAGCAUUGGUGGCAGUUUGUCCCCCAUUAAUAUAAAUGGAUUCAGAUUACCAACGAAGGUUUUGGGACUCGGAGAUAUCGAGGGCAAAGGUUAAUUGUAGAUCGAACUUCUGGAAAGCCGUGUCGGAUAUUAAGUUCAAGCUGACUCCAACACAAAUAAAGAAGUUCGAGGAUAGCCGUUUUGGCCACUUUUUUAAGGCCAACGAGAUAUAAUUUACUGGCCACAUAGUCAACAGCAUGCUGUAUAGGCAGUGUAUUUGUGAUGACAAGGAUUAUAUGGUAUUCGAUUUUGGAGGGCGUGGUGCUAGAUUUACACGGAGAGACUUCACUAUAAUUACAGGUCUACGAUUUGAUUACAAACCCAAUAGGCGGGUUAACAUCUCUACUCGUAUUAGUGACACGUAUUUUGGCGGAAAGCGAAAGGUCACUAACUCAAAGAUAACCGAAGCUUUCAUGACCGCACAGUGUCAAGACGAUGAUGAAGCCGACAAUGAUAGAUUGAAGUUGGCUUUAUUAUAUUUCCUAGAAACAGUUCUUCUAGGCAAAGAAAGCAUGGCCACGGCACCCCAUAAUCACUUGGAGAUGGUGGACGAUUAGAAGACUUCAAUAACUAUCCAUAGGGUAUUUUAUCAUAUACCACCACCAUUAGAUUGUUGAAGAGUGCUUUUGAGUAUAGAGAAUCCAUGGCUUUAAACAAGUCAAAGAGUUAUAGUGUUUGUGGAUGUCCUUUGACUUUCAUGGUCAAGCAUUUGGAAAGAAGUUGCCGGAUAUGGCAUUCCCUCAAAUUCUUAAUUGGCAUAUUUCACAAGUGCCAAGAUUUGAGAAGGCCACUGAACUCUUCGAUCCUCGUGAUUAUCCCGUUCAUGGCUUAAUGAAUGUAACUGAAUUUGAGCGUGCAUAUAUUGGAAAAAUUGCAUGGGAUGUACAUUAUGACACUACUACAUACAGUGUUGCACCUGCUGUCCGAGACAAGCCACCAAAGGGAAGUCAUGGUGAAAAAGAUGAAAGUGUUCCACUUACAAGUAGUGGAAGAAGUAAGAAACGAAAAUAGGCGUCUGUGGAAAGUAAGGGUAAAAAAGGGAGGCGGCGAAUGGGUGAUAAGCAGACAGACCAGCCUUUAUCAUCGACUGCAGGAGUUGCUGCUCGUGUUCGUGUUAAACCAUCGACUCCAUCCCAACCUCUAAUGACUCCAUCCCAUGAUGAGGUACCUUUGGAGAGAGAUUAACUAUCCUUGAAGGUGAAGUGGCUAAUGUACCGCAAGACGUUAAGGAUUUAAGAAUCGCCAUACUUAGAGAGUUUGCAAUUUUGGAGACCAAGCUUGAUAAGUUAAUGAAGCACCAAGGAGUGGGAGUUGGUGCUGACGGGUUAGGAGAUGGGAUGGAAGCGAACGUUGAAGGGGAUGAAAAUAAAGAAGAGUUUGGUCCCGAUGCGACCCCCGUUGAUAGACAGUCACGUCCAUCCAUUGUAGAUGAUGCAGGAUCAAGUGUUAAGAUUAUCGAGAAAGUAUCUCCAUCAAAGUUUCUGGCCGAGAGACAUGUAAGAAAGAUAGCAGCUGCUAACCAAAGUAUAGAUAUUGGGAGGCAGGAUAGGAAGGUAGCAGUAGCUAUUACAACUCCUUACGGUGUUGCAGGCUUGCAGAAAAAACUACAGUACACUUUACCCGGUGCAUCUUCUACUUUGAAGUUCGACCCAUACAAACCAGUACCCACGCAACUUGUAAAAAAUUUUGACCAAUUUAUGAAGUCCGGUUGGGCAGCAAAGGUUGAUAUGGACAUUUUGUCUGCGAGUAAAGACUUUUUCCAGUUGCUUAUAACCAGUGAGAAGUGGCUGAAUCACGAUCAUAUGGAAGUCCUGCCUUACUUAUUUCGUGUACGUGCCAAUCGAUUCCCUAACGUUUUUUAUCCUAGUUUUGAGGUGAUAGAUGGAGGAUUUUAGGUAUACAUUGAGCAGUGUUAUGGAAAGUUCCUCGCCAAUCCAUCUAAUUUCCAAUUCUCAUAUGCAAUGCAAGAAUAUGUAUAAGGAAUUCGAAUGAAAGAGUCAAAGCCAUGGAAAUGCUUGUUGAUUCCACUAAACAAGCGCAACAUACAUUGGCUUCUAGGGUACGUGGACUUGAAAGAGCAUCUUAUGACUGUAUAUGACUCAAAUAAGGCUGGCAACCAAAAUAGAAGAGAAAUUUAUUUCCAGAAAUUAUGCAUUUUGUUACCUUAUUUACUGCAGUCUACAUCCUUUUAUGAGCAGCGGACGGAUCUUGUAGACUCCGUUGAUGAGUUUACAUGUGAAUUGGCACAAAAUUCCCCUCAGCAAAGUAACGGUGGUGACUGUGGCGUGUUUACACUCAAGACCAUCGAGUUUUUACAUACUAGAUUACCAGUGACAUUCACAUAAGAUGACAUAGAGUUUUUUAGGAGGAAGUAUGCAUAUGAAGCUUACAACAAAGAACUAAGCAUAUGAGCUGGGUGGUGAUGCAUUUUUCUUUCCUUUUGUCAUGUUUAUAUAUGCAUAUUCUUUAUUAUAUUAGACUUUUAAUUGUAAAGAUAAUAGUGGCUUAUAAUGUUCAUUUAACAAAGAUAACGAUGUGUUAUUGAUAUAAGAAUAACUAAUUGAUCUUAUAGAAAA